AAUAAGGUUGAUGAUUAAAAAUCAGUAAAACCCAAAGAUUGGACGUUUACUAGAAUGCAGAAUGAGAAUCAUAAGCGUCAACUUUUGGAGACAGUUGCGUCCUUGUCCCAACUCCAGUACUACUUGCGCUGAGCUACACAGUGACGGGAAUAGUCAACUGAAGCAUGGGGAGGAAAAGGAAAAGGAUGACUAGGGAAAAGCUACCAACCAGCAACAGCGUGCGCCCACAAAUGCUGGAAGAAUUUUCACUUGUUUCGGGAUUCAUCAUAUUUCCAAUUCACCGACUGAUACUGAAUUGGACUUGAAAGAUCCCUUGGGCCGGCGAGGCGGCUACAGUAGUGCUAGUGCCAGCUCACACUUUCCAUUAAUUGACCCUUUUACCCUUUACGGCGGUUUGGUCCAAAUGCUGCCACCUCCCUUCCCUUUUCUUUCCUUUUCUUUUCAUUCGUUUUUGGUCGAGCGAUUCUAGAUUUAUAUUUUGUUGUUGAGUUGAUCAAAUAUGUUUCAUAGCGCGUUUAAGAUUAGAUGUCCUCAAUUGGAUUUUAUUAGAGAGAUACAAUCAUGAAGAGAGAGCGACUAGAAAAUAAUAACCAGACAAUUGAUCUAUUUUUUUUUUUUUUGGGCACAUUUUGAAAUAGAAUUAUAUUCCAUGAUCCUACUGAAUUAAAUUAACCGUUGUUAGCUAUUUCGAUGGAAUAGCAACUACGUAACUGGUUUUGCAACGUCCAUGAAUUCUAUACUUUUUUGGAGCAAAACAAGUGAAUGCCAUUUUUUUUUUACUGGUAUCAGUGUCAUGGAUUUGUUUUCGGGAAAGAGAGAGAGAAGGGGGGGAUAGAUUUGUCUUUUAAAUAAGAUUGGAUAGAGAAGAUGACGUUUUCCGCUGCCGGGAUUGUCAAGUAUUUGAUUAUCCUCAGUUGACUACAAGUUUGGAUUUAAGGAUUAAGGAUAAUAAUUGGAAAAAUGGUCAUCCAUUCAAAUGAUUGAUUCCCCAGUUGAAAAUAAUAUUAAAAAAAAAAAAGAGGUUAUGGUCCAUUCAGACGGAGACACUCAUCCAAUCUAAUUAUUAGUGUUUAAAAUUUACUCAAUUGUUUUGUGGGUUUUUUGCCCUAUUUUUUUUUUUCACCAUAAAAUCACAAGAUAAUCGCUUAAAGCAGCGUCGUUGAAUUGACUCAAAUAUUUACGCCACCUUCCUUUUCUUUUCUUUUCUUUUUUCAUUUUUCAUUCGAGCAAUUCUUUUUUACUGUUGUGUUGAGCUGAUCAAAUAUAUUUCAUUGCACGGUCAAAAUUGGAUGUCCUCAAAUUAGAUUUUAUUGGAGAGAUAUAAAAUAGUCAUGAAGUGAGAAUGACUAGCAAAUAGUGACGAGACACUUUUAUUGUCAUGGAUUUGUCUGCCCCAUACUCUAUUUUUUAAAGGGAUGUAUUUGUCUUUAAGUAAGAUGGGAUUGAGAAGAUGACGUUUGCUCCAGCAAAAGAUGAAUGAUAUUCCACUGCCAGAUUGAUAAGGAUUUGAUUAUUCUCAGUUGGCUGCAGCACUGAUAAUUGGAAAAAUGGUUAUCCACUCCAAUGAUAAUUCACCAAUUGAAAAAAAAAAAAAAAGAAAGGGUUAUGGCCAGUUUAGACGGAGACGCUGGAAAAUUAUUUUAUCUAUCAAGGAUUGUUAGAUCAAGUGACAGGCAACUUAAUAGGUAUCUCUUAAAUAAGGUCUCGAUUCGAGGCUAGCGGAUGAUGAAAAUCUCACAGCGAAUUUGUAUCUUCCUACGAUUCGUUCGUUUUUGACCUUUCUCAUCUAUUAGUUCCUUCUGGCCUCAGACCAACGGAUGACUCUUCUAUUCUCCUUUGUUUACUAGGAAUGGAAACGUAAGACCGACGGGACGUUAAAGGUCGGCACCAAAGCAUGAAGAGAGAGCAAAAUCAAUCUCUUCGCACAAUGCAAUUGUAAUUGUAUACUUCUCAUUUUUCUUUUUUGUUUUUUCUACGCCUAUUCCUACUCUAGCCUAUUCUAAAAGGAGGUCUAACUGGAUCAAUGGAGGGAUCAACGAUUUUUUCUACAUCUAUUCCUACUCUAACCUAUUCUAAAGGAGGUCUAACUGAAUCAAUGGAGGGAUCAACAGGGACUGAACCACCAUCGGAUCAGACGGAUGCACUACAUACUCGUCUGAAUAUUUUAAAAAAUCGCAUAAUGUAACAAUUCGUGAGAGGCAAGGACUUGACAACUUGUCUCCCACCACACUAAACCUUAAGGACUUGGCAGUGACCAUUGUUUUUUAGUCAUCUUUGGUUUUAGUGAUUUUCACACUUCACAGAAGACAAAAGACAAGAAUUUCAGACUGUAUAUCAUGAUUACGGCAUUGCACCUAAUCAGGUUGCUGGCAUUUCUCACUUCUUUCUUCCCAAGAUAAUUAUCGUGCAUACACCUUUGAUAUCUUUAUCAAGUUACAUAUGAAUCAUAGAUUUGAAACAGCUGAUUUUUGCUGAUAUGCUCGAUACUUUUCUGCAUAAUUAUUAGAAGAUUUUAAUUGUGUACAAGGUCGAGCAGGAAGCCAAGCUAUCUAUUUCGAUUUUACUGUCUCGUUGAACAAAGGAAGACGGAGAACUCUAUGCAAUACUUAAGUUACCCUUAAACCGUAAUCUCACAUUUUCUUCUUUUUCUAUGUUGAAAUUGCAAUCAUUUAUCACCGGAGAGUUUAGUUCCGACCGCCUUUUUGUAUGUGUACCUUUGGGCAACCGCAAGAAAAACUCCAAAAUUUAGCACCCCGAGCCCAGAUAGGAGCCAGAAGAAGUAAUCGAGAUGGCCAUAAUUGAAGUUGUCCGCUAUCCAUCCUGGUUUUCCACCCCUGGUGCUGGCUUUUGUGACAAUUUGCACUAACAAAGAACUCAAAUAGCUACCGAGUGAUCCGGUGGUGAGCGAUAGAGCAGCGCACAAGCUUCUUAUGGAAUCAGGUGCUUGUUCAUAGAAAAACUCCAGUUGUCCAAUGAAUAUGAAAACUUCUGCACAGCCUAUUAUGAAGUACUGAGGAACCUGCCAGAAUACUGAAAUUGGUAUCAGCUUUGCAUCAUACAGGUUAUGCCUCCUCACUAUUCCAAGCCUAACGAUCUCUAAAACAGCCGCAGUUACCAUGGCGAGAAUUGCUAUGACCAUUCCAAUGCCCAUUCUCUGCAGCUGUGUCAAGCCAUUUUUCUGACCAGUAAUUUUUCUGGCAAAGGGGGUGAUUAUUUUGUCAUAAAUUGGAACCCAGACAAUGACACUGAGAGUGUCGAAAACACUAAGGGAUGCUUCUGGGAUCUUGAAUCUAGUGUUUCCUAAAUGUGUAUCCAUGACCUCGGCUUGCGACACAAAUAAAUUCCCCAUUUGGCUGUAAACAGCGCUAACGAUAAUGCCAGUGGCCCAAACAGGUAGCAAUCUUAAGAUUGAUUUUAGCUCCUCCACUUGUGUCACAGUGCAAAGUCUCCAUGCGCUUACUUUUGAUUCAUUUGUGCGAUCAGAUUCUGUCUCCACCGCUGCCUUGUCAAAGAAACUGCAAAUGACCCAACAGUCUUGAUUUAGAAUACCUAAAGAGAAACAUAAUAGCAAUAAAAGCUGAAGUUUACUGAGCAAUGCAAUCAUUGCUCUUUCACCUCCCUUUGUUGAUAUGUAUAAACAGAACCAUUUGAACAUUUUUAAUCAACUCUGUCUCUUCUUCAUUUUAGUUUCUUCCGUUUUCUAUUUAACAAUAAAAUUACACCGGAGGUACCAUCUUUAGUUACAGACUCCAGUGGUUUGAUCAUUUCAUCUUGCUUUCCGAACCAACAGAAAAUAAUAUACUGGAAAACUGACACAGCUAAAGGCUUUUUAUCUAAAAGCACACCUGAAGGCUUUUGUGUGUUCAAGCUUGCGACUGCCUACAAUAGCACUUGUCUCAUCUGCAACCUCGUAGAGUUGAGAUUUGUCAGCAGGCAGUGGAACGUCAUAUUUUCUCAGAGAUGCCACCAAGACCUGGCAUAGGCGAGUCAAGGGACUGCCUCCUGGUAUCUGAUAACGGUAGAUUCGUGUACCUGAAAAGAAGGAUACCACAGCUAUCGCCAUAGCUGCAGCAGGUAUACCAAAACCCCAUCCCCACCCGACAUGUAAUUGUAUAUAGACCAGAAAAGAUGAAGCAACAAGUGCCCCAAUGUUGAUACUGAAGUAGAACCAAUUGAAGAAAGAGCUUUUGAAGUUUUUCUCAGUUUCAUCAGCAUCAUCAAACUGGUCUGCUCCAUAGGAUGAGACACACGGCUUGAUCCCUCCAGUUCCUAGCGCUACCAGGUAGAGUGCAAGGAAGCUUACUGUUGUCUGAAUGCUUGUUGGGUCGCAAACAUCUUCAGCAGAACAGGCGGGUUUUAGGCCCGGGACGGACGCCGACAAUGUUAAAAGUGUCAUGCCCUGUCACACAAUUAAAGUCAUCUUUUGGCAUCUUAUGAUCAAAACAGAUCUCAAACCAAACAGAUUACUAUGCUACUCAGCUUGGUUUCCACUAAAUAUAAGCAAAUAAAAUUUUUGAAAAAGUUUCACGGCUACAAGCAGCUCGGAAACUAAUGAAACAAUACAUAUAAACCAAGGAAGGCUGCCGGCCUGCGCCUGCCUGCUUUGUCUACAUGUGGCCAAGAUGACAAGUAGCUUUAUCCAUCUGGAUUUGUUAAAACGGAAAAACAACCAACCAUAAAAUGCAAUACAUACAAUGAAGUAGAUGAUUGAGAAGCUGGCGAUCGUCCAAUAUCUUCCAAGACAUGAAUCCGCAAGAAACGCUCCUAAUAAUGGCAUGAUAUAGCAUGUUCCUGACCAAUUUGAGACGUUUCUUGACGCUUCAGCAGUAUGCUGAUUGAGUUGCUUUGUGAAAUAGAUCAUCAGAUUGCUGCUCAUUCCGUAGUACGCCAAUCUUUCACAGCAUUCAUUUCCUAACAGCAAAAAGAAUAAAAAGUAUAAUAUCAUCUCGCCAAGAAUGCCACGGUCCAAAUAAGAGGAAAACUAAGAUGAGACAAUUACCAAGGAUGUAAGGGCAGGCCUUCCAGGUUCCGGUUUUCCUCUUGUCAGCAGGGUUCUUACGAUAAUCAACUGUUCCAUCUUUGGUGUAAUAGUCAUCUGCUUCCAUGAUCUCCCGCAAACCGAAAGCAGUUAAGCCGCUGUUUCUCUCUUCUCCUUUGAGCAAUUACUCACACCUGGUACUCUAUGGUACCCAAGAAAGUAGUAGGCGGCAUGAAAUCAGAAAGAGGAGUCCACAAUUUAUAGACAUACACUAGCAGAUGAAUUUAUUACCAUAAUUAAUUCGCCAAGUUUGUGUGUUGAGUUGAGUGUAGGUCUCUAAAUCUGCUUUUAUGGCAUGAGAUUUAAAAGAGGAGUCCACAAUUUAUAGACACGCAUUAGCAGAUUAAUGCCAUAAUUACUUCGCCCAAAUUUGUGUGUUGAGGUGAGUAAACGGUCUCUAAAUCUGCUUUUAUGGUAUAUGAGCGACGUAAAUUUGUUUGCCAGCUAAAUCUCCAUUUUCAGCAUCUACAUCUACACCCAUCGUGGACACAGAUGUAGUCCUGGUACAUUACUUUGCAUCUGGUAUUUUCACCGUGUGGACGCAGUAAAAGUCAAGAGUGUUUGUCCUGUGGGAUCAGGGGCAUCACAAGUUUCAGUUCAGACCAAUUGCUCCUAAAGUGUAAAUAAGUAGAGACUUGAUGUAAAUAGAUUUAGGUAAGAGUGUAAAAUGAUACUGUAAUAUUGUAGUGUUAAAAUUACAAAAAUACCAUUUUAUCCUCAACUAAUCUGAAAUAGAACUUGUGAGUCCCGUGAUUCGUUUCUCUUGUGAUCCGUUCCUCUUGUGCUCUUUAAUGGGAUGGCAAAGAUAUGAUUUACUUGCUUUGAGUACUCGGCAGAGCAAUUUGUGGCCGCUUGCACACAAACAAGCACAUUUUUUCUUCAUAUUUCCAUUCCUCCAAGGUUUUGGUCUACCUAAGCAGUAGACACCACUAGAUUCGGAGAACAAAAGUUGAUUUUGGGCUUACAUUAGAUUGAUGAAACAAUGGCCAGACGAAUCACAUAGUUUUAUACCAUUUGAAACACAAACGAAUUCAACAAUGCCAUAUAUACAUUAUACAGUUCCUAGUUGCUACCACCAUGAACAGUCCAAGUCAUCGACCGGCCGACUGCAUUUAUAGCCAAUGUGUCUUUUUCCAUACGAACACGAAAUGCUAGGCUUCAAAAGAUUAGAGAAAUUAAUGCUUACCACCAAUGGCCUCUAGCAUGAUCAACAUAAAAAUGGAGGAAAAUGCGUGCCGGAAAGAAAUUCAAACAACAACUUUGAAAAGAAAAGAAAACAUCAAAAUAAUUUCUCUAUCUGAUGAUGAAGAAGAAUAAUGUCAAAUUGGAAUAAUCCCUAGUAUGCUGCAGUAAGAUGUGGUAAACUCACGUUAGAGAAAUUGAAAAAGAAAAGGAAAGGAGAAAGAUGGGAAGAACUCACGUACAAGAAGUAGGAUGGCCAAAGUAAGUCUGAUGGGGAGCAGCAAAACGUACCUUGAAAAGAUAAAAUGGCAAAUUACGUACAUACUCCCUAAAAUUUUGCAUAAUGCCUGAUGAUCUUUUUAAGAUUUUAAAAUAGUCAUGUAAUCCCGUAUAGUUCCACAUAGUCAGUUGGGGCGAUUAUACCAAAGGCGUUCUAGAAGUGUGUAUGAUGAAAUGAUAAUAUCCAUUUAACUUCUCUAUAGUUUGCAUAAAUAUUCACUUUAUUUCCUUAAAGUAUUUACAUUUUUUAACAUAAUCUCCUUGUAGUUUUAUAGAUAGUUAAGAUGUAGUCUGAUUUAACAUUUUAAGUAAGGAGCACUAUUAGUAUUUCAAUUAAUAACAUUACAUAGGUUAUUUUUCGUUAAAUUUUCACUUUAUUUGAAACCAUAAAAUGGUGAAAUAGACAUUUAGAAACAUUACAGAUGCCAUGUAGCAAUAGAUGAAAUCACCGGGGGGGUCAUUUAUAAUUUACCCGAGAUCAAAUGACCGAUUGGUCGAACUCACAGGUGAAAGAAAGGAUCUUAGAAAGAAAUGCAGACUUCCUUAACCCUGUGCUCUUUAGAAAAUAUUCAAGCAAUGAAUCCAAUCGCAUUUUAACCAGGAUUUAGUUAAUAGUAAUUCAAUGAGUGGUUGGACACAUUGAAUAAUCUCUCACUUUGUGAAACUGCAGUGAAUUGUCAUCAACUGGCAGUCUCCAUAAAUGGCGGGCUUCAAUAAAACUACAUUAACUGCAAAUGUAUCUGUUUGAUUCCAUUUCGAUUGAGCAUAUCUAUAGAACUGUUGAAAAGAACUUCUUAGGCCUAUAAUCAAAUGAAUAAUUUUUCUGACUUUUCAUCAUGAUAUCUUGAUAAUCACCAUUCAGCAUAUAGGAGUCUACUGAUGCCUAAUCAGUGCAUGGAAAUGGAGACUCAGUGAUUAACAACAAAGAAAACCAGAACAUAAAUGGUUGAGACAACUAUUGUGCCAAAUCUUCCUAGAUAGGCAUUUAAGAGAGAGAGGCUCUUCAGGGGUGCGACGCAGCUGUUGGAUGUGCCAAACCAAGUACAGACGUUAUUAGAAGCAGUGAGUGGCCUUGUAUCUGGCCAAGUUUUUGUUUGUUUGUUUUUUUUUUUGGGUAAAAUAAGGUGGUUAACAUAAAUUAAACAUUAUCAAUUACAAUCAUCCUGGGUGUACACUACAAACCCAUUACAUCUUGCAGCACAAUAUUAGAAAUAGUAGCAGGGCAAGAAUCGAAACUACAAAAGGUGGUAAAAUAGAGGUCUCCGUCUUGGCAAAAGCAUCAGCACGUUGGUUCCCUUCAGAGUGAACGUGCAUGAUAAUAAUCUGCGGGAAUCUAGACUUUAAAGAGUCCUGCAACCAGCAGUAAGAGGGGAUAGAUAGUUCAUGAGAGAAGAAAAUAUGUAUUAUUAACAAGAAGAAAAUAAUCUCACAAGAGUCAACUCCCACAUUUAAACAGCUAAUAUUCAGCGACAGUGCCAAUUCAAGUCCAUCUCGUAGUGCCCACAACGGGCCUCUCUUGAAAUCCAUGACAUCGGUUUCCUUCUCGGUGUACGUGCCAUUUCUAAACUUGGGAAAUCCCUUCACCCGAGAGCCUGUGGAGUCCCUCAACAGACCCCCUGCCGCUGCUUUGCCAGGAUUACCCAGUGCUGAUGCAUCCGUCUUCGGCUUAAACCAAUUGGGACGCGGAGGAAGGAGACAAAUGGCUCGAGUUCUAGGGCCAAGAGUUGCAAAUUCCAGCGCAGAAUUAAAGAAGCAUCAGAUUAGUACCCAUGCCGUAGCAUGCCAAUCUCUCGCAACAUUCAGUCUCUAUCAAUGAAAAGUACAGAAGAAACAUGAGCUUUGACUAGAAAACAUGUUAUUCCAAUACCUAAAACGUAUGGGCAGGCUUCCCAAGUCCUGGUUUCAUUUUUCUUGGCUGGAUUAUUACGACAAUAGACUGUCCCGUCCUAAUUAGUAUACAAAUCAUCCUGUGUCGUGUCUUUAUAGACAUCAAUUUCUGCUUGAGGAUUUGGCUUUUUCUGCAAUGUCUCAUGCAAUAGCAAAGCUAUGUCAGAACUCAAAAGAAGAUCGCCUGAACCAGCAACUUUUGAUUGCGAGUAGAAUAAAAUUUCUUCAGCUAUAAAUUAGCCUACUUCAAAAUGGCAGUUGGAGUGACGGAGGUUUACCAUUUUGCUUUGGCCUUUGGUGUAACGGGUAAUAUACUUUACAAAGACUGAGCUUAAUAUACAGUGAAAAAAAGCACAAACCAUUAUAUCUCCUGCUCAGUAAAUAAUUAGCAGCAUUUAGAUGUACUCUAAUUGAUUAUAAAUUACAACUUGCAAUCAUGAUGGUUCUUUGAUUUACUUUACACUUCCUAUUAAACAGACUUUUGACCUGUCAUUAUUAAGUGAGACCCAUUUUGUACUACAUAAUACUCCCUCUCUUUUUUUAUAACUGACGUUUAAGAAAUUUGCUCUAAUGUAUUUUUAUCUGUCGUUUUAUUAUCUCCCUACACUAUUAAUUAUUUUUUCACAAUUUUACCCUUUUAUCUCUCUUUUUCAAUACAGGGUUCUUAAUUACUACUCUAGUUUGGUGGGAGUUAGUUUGCAUUACUUUUGGCCUAGUAAAACAGCACCAUUUAGUACUCUAGUGAGAGAAAAUAUGGGUGAAUUGGACAAUUAAUGAGGGUACAAAAGAAAAGUAGUGUACAGAUUUAAACAAUACAAAAUUUUUCUUAAUUAGUGUGUAAAAUCUUAAACGUCAGUUAUAAACUCAAUAAGUACGUUUCCUUUCCUUCUUUCCCAAUCGAUUGGAGACAUCACGCCACGAUGUUCAUGGCAAUGCAAAUUAUAGUCCUCAUAGCUAAACUCAAUAAAAUAAACAUAUGCUUAUCGUGGAUUCUUCUCCUGUACAUUUCUCCCUAGCGGUGCAUUAUUAAAUUAGUAUUAAGCACACCCACGUAUGUGUGUUUGUAUAUGGGUCAAAUUAAGCACACUGUCGCCACGUGGUUUUAGUGCUUGUGUGCAUCGUGAGUAGUGAUGCUCCACCGCAUGAAAACAAAAACAAAAACAAGGGACUGCGAGAGGAUUUCCAAAAGUAAUCAAUUUAUGUACAGUACAGGAUCGAAGCAGAAUAUAAAAAGCUAUUCACAUCAAACGAAGUAGUAUUCGUUUUACCAUCUAGCGGAACAAAGAAAAUGCAAAAACAUAAAACUUCUAAGCUGCCCUUUAACCCCAAUCCCACUUCUUCUUCGAUUCUGAAGGAGCAGAUUUAUUUAUUUUUUUUUUUUUUUUAAUCAGCGAAGGGUUCCGACUGCCUUCUUGUAUGUAUACCUCUGGGCAAUCACAAGAAAAACUCCAAAGUUUAGCACGCUAAGCGCAGCCAAGAGCCAGAAGAAGUAGUCCAGAUGACCAUAGUUUAAGUUGUCCGGUAUCCAUCCUGGUUUGCCACCCCUGGUGCUGGCUUUUGUGACGAUCGUUACUAAAAAGGAACUCAGAUAGUUGCCAAGUGCGGUGGUGGUGAGCGAUAGAGCAGCGCACAAGCUUCUCAUGGAAUCAGGUGCCUGUUCGUAGAAAAACUCUAGCUGUCCAAUGAAUGUGAACACUUCUGCACAACCUAUUAUGAAGUACUGAGGGAUCUGCCAGAACACUGAAAUUGGAAUCAGCUCUGCGUCGUAUAGGUUAUGUCUCUUCACUAUUCCAAGCCUAACAAUCUCUAGAACAGCUGCAGAUACCAUAGCAAAAACUGAUAUGACCAGUCCGAUGCCCAUUCUCUGCAGCUGGGUCAAGCCAUUUUUGCGGCCUGUAAUUUUUCUGGCAAAAGGGGUUAUUAUUGUGUCAUAAAUCGGAACCCAGAUAAUGACACUGAGUGUGUCAAAAACGCUGAGUGAUGCUUCUGGGAUCUCAAAUGAAGUUUUUCCCAAAUGGGUGUCCAUGACUUCGGCUUGUGAUACAAAUAAGUUCCCCAUUUGACCAUAAACGGCACUGAACAUAAUACCAGUGGCCCAAACAGGUAGCAAUCUUACGAUUGAUUUCAGCUCCUCCACCUGUGUCACGGUGCAAAGCCUCCAUGCACUCACUUUUGAUUCAUUUGCACGAUCUGAUUCUGUCUCCACUGCCGCCUUGUCAAAGAAACUGCAAAUAUAUAACACAACAAUUUUCAUUUAGAAAUCUGGGACUGGCAAUUUCAAACCUAAGGAGAGGCAUGAUAGCAAUACAAACUGAAGUAUACUUGGCAAUGCAGUCAUUGCUGUCUCGUCUCGCCUACAUGCAUAAAGUUGUUAAGGAUGUGUGGACCACUAAUGUUUGAACAGUUUCAAAUCAACUCUUGACUCUUCUUAAUUUUAGUUUCUUCUGUUUUCUAGUAAACAGCAAAAUUACAAAAGAUACUACCAUCUUUAGUUACAAACUUCGGUGGUUUGAUCCUUUCAUCUUUUCUUUGUGAACAAAAAGACAAAAUACGUUAACUGGAAAGCUUACGAAUUAUCUCAAAGCAUACCUGAAGGAAUCUGUGUGUUCAAGCUUGCGACUGCCUACAAUAGCACUUGUCUCAUCUGCAACCUCAUAAAGUUGAGAUUUGUCAGCAGGCAGUGGAACGCUAUGCUUUCUGAAAGAUGCCACCAAGACCUGGCAUAAGCGAGUCAAGGGACUGCCUCCUGGUAUCUGAUAACGGUAGAUUCGGGUACCAGAAAAGAAGGAAACCACUGCUAUUGCCAUUGCCGCAGCAGGUAUACCGAACCCCCAUCCCCACCCGACAUGUAAUUGUAUAUAGACCAAUAAAGAUGAAGCAAUUAGUGCCCCAAUGUUGAUACUGAAAUAGAACCAAUUGAAGAAAGAGCCUUUGAAGUUUUUCUCAGUUUCAUCAGCAUCAUCAAACUGAUCUGCUCCAUAGGAUGAGACACACGGCUUGAUCCCUCCAGUUCCUAGUGCUACCAGGUAGAGUGCUAUGAAGCAGACUGUUGUCUGAGUGCCCGUUGGCUGGCAAACAUCCUUGGCAGAACAGGUGGGUUUUAGGCCUGGGACCGAUGCCGACAAUGUCAAAAGUGUCAUGCCCUGUAACAAAAUUAAAGUCAUUUUAUGACAUCUCAUGAUCAAAACAGAUCCCCAUGCAGCUCAGCUUGGGUUCCACUAAAUAUCAGCACAUAAAGUAUUUGAAAAUUAAAUUUAAUGAAACAAAACAUAUAAACCAAAUACCAUCUUUCACUUCUUUAGAAAAAUGAAGAGCCCAGAGUUUAAACAUUAUUAUAUGCAUGUAUUGGCAAGGGUUGUCAUUCACAUUAAAUUAAAAAAAAAAAUUUUUUGGAGGAGCUAGUUUUGACUCCCAAGACUAGACUAUUGAAAGUCAUGAAUGCUUUGCCUACACCUUUCUGUGAUGACAAAUAGCUUUGUCCUUUGGAAUUUGUUAAAAUGGAAAAAUAAUCAGCGAAAAGUGAAAAACAUACAAUGAAGUAGAUGGUUGAGAAGCUGGCGAUUGUCCAAUAUCUUCCAAGAUAUGAAUCAGCAAGAAAUGCUCCCAGUAGUGGCAUGAUAUAGCAUGUUCCGGACCAAUUCGAGAGAUUUCUUGAAGCAUCAGCAGUGUGCUGAUUGAGUUGCUUUGUGAAGUAGAUCAUCAGAUUGCUGCUCAUUCCAUAGUACGCCAAUCUUUCACUGCAUUCAUUUCCUGACAGCAAAAACAAUAAAAAGUCCAACGUUAUCAUCCCAAGCAUGCCCCAGUUCAAAUAAUGGUAAAACUCAGAUGAAACAAUUACCAAGGAUGUAAGGACAGGCCUUCCAGGUUCCGGUUUUCCUCUUAUCUGCAGGGUUCUUACGAUAAUCAACUGUUCCAUCUUUGGUGUAAUAGUCAUCUGCUUCCAUGAUAUCCAGCAAAGGGUGCGCAAUCAAACAGCUGUUUUCCCUUGCGGAAUUAAUCAAACCUGGUGCACUAUGAUGCCCAAGAAAAUUAGUCGGCAUGAGAUUCAAAAGAGAGGUCCACAAUUUAUGAACAUACAUCACCAGAAAGCAAGAUUAAUUGCGUUUUCAAUUAGGUGUUAUUAAAUCUGCUUUUAUUAUAUGUGAGCAAUACAAGUUUGUUUAGCUGCAAGAUUUCCAUGUUCAGCAUCUAUAUUUUAGCCUGUACAGAAAAGUAGUCAUCAUACAUCACUUUUCUAUCCAAAUUUUUCCACUGUGUGGAUGCAACAAAAGUCAGAGAACUUUUCUUCUGAUAUUUAAUGAAAUAGUAAAACUGCUACUUGCUCCGUCAUUCAAGUAUUUUGCCCAAGCCAAGCACAAAAUUCCCACAUGCAUGUAUUGAAAUAUAUAUAAUCGAGUCCAACUACACUGUAUCCUAUUUUAUCUUACCAUGAAGAAGCUGAUGCGAAAUCCACAAAACACCAUCAAUGAGCACACUAGGCAUCAUGGGCGAUUGAAAAAAGAAGUAGGAGUAUUUGUUUCAGGCGGGGAGAGAGAUUCCAUGCAGACCAGAGUUAUAUACUAAGAUUUUUGCCAGUUUGUCGUCAUUGAAAACAGUACUGCAACUGGUUAAACUUACUUCUUGAGGAUGUGAAAGUAAAAUACUUCUUGUAGAAAAAGCACCAAAUUAUUUGCCGAAAGAAUAAAAAACUUCCUUGUCACUAGUCUACCUCUAUUUAUUUUAUUUGACCCGAAGAUAAUCCACCACCGUUUGACAGACAGUAACAUAAAUCACAGCCGGAGAAGAUUCAAUAAAAGGAUCCGUACGACGUCUUUUUUUUUUGUUUAAUUAUAUAUUUUCUUCAAUUGUCGUUAUCAUAUCAUAUGGAACAUGCGGCAUCUCCAACGUGGGGGAUUCCCAGUUUCCAACAUCAACAUCAAAAGAUUGACGAUCAAGUCAUCAUCGACUAACGAAAGGAGAAAAAAAAAACGAAGAAAUUUAGGACUAGUAGUAAUAGUUGUAGGGAUCAGGAAAAACAUACCCGUGACAAAACAAAUGACAGGUCGUCGAAGGACCUAAGGAAGAAAGCCGGACUUCCUAACCCUGAGUUUCCUGUGCAAGUUAUACUGCUAACAUUCAAGACACAGAAUCCAAUUGGGCCUUCUUAUCUUAUACUGGGAUUUCGUGAAUGGGAUUCUUUUUUCCCGUGAAUGGGAUUUAAUUGAGGGGUUUGACGCGUUGAAUAUCUGUUAUUUCUCACUUGUACCCGAAUACCGAUCGUCUACUCACUUCCUAUGAAUCUGUCAUCCAUUCAGUCUCCAUACAUCGAGGGGCAUCAAUGGUACUGCACUACAGUCCCAUUGCAAUCCGCAACCCUCAUAGGAAUUCCUCCUUAACCUUCAAUUCUUAAAAGCCAAAAAUUAAGAAGAAAGAAAAAUGUAUGGUUAGUAAAAAGCUAAAUCAAAUAGGAUUUGACCACCAACAUUGUUGGACCUAAUGUUUUGUUUAAGAUCGGAUUCUACCUAGAUUUUUUUUUUUUUUUUGGGUCAGGAUCGAAUUGUGGAAUCCUACAAAAAAAGAUAAAAUAUAUAUAUAUAUGCAUACUAAUAAUUUUUAAAAGUUUGCAAUUCACAUAACCGACAAUAAAUACUCCCUCCCUUUUUUUAUAACUGACGUUUAAGGUUUUGCACACCAAUUAAGAAAAGUUUUUCAUUGUUUAAAUCUAUACACUACUUUCCUUUUGUACCCUCAUUAAAGAAUAUUUUUUUUUUGGUCAGGAUCGAAUUGUGAAAUCGAUGGAUCCUACAAAAAAGGUAAAAAAAAUAUAUAUGUAUAUAUAUAUAUAUUCAUACUAAUAAUUUUUAAAAGUUUGCAAUUCACAUAACCGACAAUAAAUAAUACAAUUCAUGUUCAAUCAAUAUAAUGGCCGCACGAUAAGAACCACCGAUCCUAGCUGUACUUAAUCGUCGUUUAACUGAAUCUCUCGAGAUUAUCUCUAUUUUUGAUUGGGGAUUCCUCACUUGCUGAGAAUUCUGAGAAUGACCAAAUACCCAUUUCCAUAAAUUUCUUCAAUUAUUGAACACAAAAUAGUGGGAGCUCUGAUUUCACCCUAGUUAUUAGUUAGGUUUUUUUUUCCACUUUAUCCCUUGAAACAUUAGUUAACUCUAAUAUUGUGUUGUAUAAUGGUGUUGUCAAAAAGAUAUUUAUGCCCUUAAUUAAUAGUUAAAUGCAAUAAUUCCCCUAACUUAUUUUGCUCUUUAUCUCCAAACAUCAUUUUUUCCUAAUUUGUCUAUUUGUCACCAAAAUCUUUAGUCAACCCCGAUAUUUUAUAAUCCAGGGUAAAUAAUGUAUAAAAAUAUAUUUUCCUAACAUAGUAAUGAAAAUGUUAUAUAUUUACAGAUAUUGUACUAAUUAAAUUGGGAAUGUGCAUAUGGUUGCACUUUUAUUUUAAUAGUUAGAUAUUUUCUUCAUAUUGGAAUAUAAAUUUUUUGUUGUUAAUACUUAAAAAAGAGAGAAACAUUGUUCAUUUGGGCUUUCAAGUUUCGAGGGUCAUUUUUAUAAUAUAGCAUGAUUAGAUGCUAUUAAAAAUUGUUUGGAUUGCUAAAUUUUUCUAAAAAAUUUUUUUUGUCGAGUCAUAAGCACAUUUCUCAAUCAUCUUUUUAUUUUUUUCACAAACAUCAGAUAGCAAAAAGUAUUACAAUAUUUUUUUAAAAAAAUUUUCAAAUAAUCUUCAAUCCAAACAAACCCAAUCUAUAGACCUUUAAUAAUAUUUUUAUAGUUUUUUUCUCACUAAUAAUUUUUCUUUUUCCCCUUAUCAUGCAAAACGAGUUGGGAUAUUACCCUUUAUAUAAAACCUACAAUUAUGGAGAUAACAUUUAACAAAGCCAAUAUCCAUAAAUGUACCAUAAUUUUCAUUGUUAUGUUAGGAAUGCUGAUUUAAAUAUUAUCUAUCUUGAGUGAUUUUAGGGACAAAUAGACAAAAUAACAGAAAAAUGAAAUUAGAGGAUAUUGUAUGUUAAGGGAAUUUAUUGGACUUAACACCUAAGGGCAUAAAUAUCUUUAUAACAUUUUCGUUAUACAAUGUUAAAGUUGACUAAAGGUUUAAGGGAUAAAAUGAGAAAAAAUCAACAUUAAGAGAUAAAGUGAAAAUUUGUUAAAUGUUAAGAGGAGUUUUUGUGAUUAACCAAUUUUUUAUAUUACGACAUUAUUAACCAUUCCACUGAUAUUGAAGCUCGAAACCUUCCGUUUCAUUCAAUAUCACAUGGACAUUAGAGGCAUUCUUUUCUUUUGGUUGCUAUAAUUACUUUUUCGCGGUUGGGACUUCGGGGAUACAAGUAGAACUUGAGCAGAUUUCGUCAAUACAAAACUGUUUUACCAACAUUACCCCCCUAGUAUGUUAUUUGCACUUCCGCUAUCUCAAUUUUAUUUCGAUGAGACUAUACUACCUCUACCCUAAUUUUUUUGCCUUGCCCAUGUGCUAACUAUACUGGAUGCGGUCAUCCAAUUAGGGUAGGAGUAGAAAUCAGGAUAGGAAUAAUACGGUUUCAUCAAAAUAAAAAUGCGACAGUGGGAGUACAAAUAGCAUAAUAGGAGUUUAAAUAACAUUAUCCAAAAAACAAUUGACAAAGAUGAAGCUACCUCAUAAUUCUUGACAAUUAAAUAAUUAAAAGAGUUACGGUCCACUUUCUUUGCCUUAACGAAUUGAGUUCGUGGUUUAUUACGAGUAUUCUUAAAAUCCCCAUCCCAUCAUCAAGAGUCUUUUUCAGAGACUAGGACGUCUUCAAGAUGGUAUAUGAUGCAAUGGUGGUUGUUGAUUUCUCCCAAAAAAUACCAAACCAGUAAAGCCAUUAAAGUAUUCCGUCUCCGUAAGAGAUUAAUCAAUGCCAUAAACUAACAUUUAUGUCAAUUACAUCUAGAUAUUUGGUCAUCAAAUACAAGCCGAUCAAGUGAGAAGUCUUUGUUUGAUGGUCUUCUUUAGUUAGUGUCUUAUUAAAAUUUUAAUAUUACUGCUAACCCCUUCCAUUCACCCUAUUAAGAGCAAGCGACACCAAAUCCUCCACUUUUGCCCUUAGAAUAACCAAAUAAUAACGAGUUAAUGAAUUCUAAAAUCUUUUAUCACAGAAGAUUUAUAUGGGCAGAAGAAGGGAUAGGGACUUCAGAAGGUAGUUCAUGGAGUACGUAGUGUGAUUGGAAUUAAUAUACUAUUGAGUAUGACAAAACAAUCGUUUCUUUGCUUUCCGCGAUAGAGAUUGUAGACGGACAAAAAUGGGUUCUCUCCGGAGUAACUUUUACGCAGUAAAAUGGCAUGAAGUGCAAGCCAAAGGACGUUCACUCAGACUCAGUGCAGGAAUUUAUGUGCAGUAGUCAGCUUUGGACCUUUUGUGAAAUACAUAUGACUCCAAUUAGAAGUAUUGUCAUCAUAAAUCUUUUUUUUUUCAGCUAAAAGCCAGUUAUUUGACUACAGUUAAUUUUAUUUUUUUUUUUGGCAACGAAGGAGUGAAAUUUAAAAUACUUAGAAGAAGAGGGAUUUGAAUUCAAAACCCCUAGCUCGGGAAGUGGUGUUUUUGACCACCACAAUUAACUCUAAUAGAUAUUGCUUGCACAAUUUCCUUUUAGCAGCAAACAUUAAUCAUCACAUAUUCACAUGACCAAGUUGGUUCGUGCAGGAGUCACUAUUCCGAUCGAGUUGCAAAUAAGUGACAGCCCUUUGGCGACGCGCGCAUGUAACUUACUUUAUAAACCCUUUUGCACAAGUCAUGUAUUAGUGGGUAUCAACUCAACGUUGUUAAUCUCCUAUGAUCAAUAACACUAGGAAUCAUCACUGCGUUUGUUUAACUUUCUGGUCAAACGAUUUUUAAAAGUUGCUUAACAAACUUUUGCUUACUUUUUUCCUAGUUUAACAGCCAGACCAACCACCUAGCUUUCAUGCUAGUUGGUUAACUGUAAUUGAAAAAUGGGGAUUUGGUGAUUGAUUGUUGGAUCAAGUGGUGGAUUAGUUUCUUUCCAGAAAGCCCAACUUUAAAUGUCGAUGAUGGUUUAGGAAAAAAGAGGAAGCUUUUUAACUAAAACUACAUUUCAAGAACUAAAAACUUUCACCAAAAAAAGAAAGAAAGUUGCUGUAAGUUGUAAUGUAUUCGAAUUUCACUAUCGAAGCUAUGUCGAUGAUCCCUUUUUGUGUAAUGACUAAGAUAUUUGUUUUCUAGCCAAAUUUUAUGUACAAAGCAAAUGAGAAAUCAGGCUGCAAAUCUUUCGGUUAAGAAAGCAAACCCAUGAAAAGCUACCAUCCCUUAACUGCUUUGAGGUAAGGCAAACAGCAAAGGGUUUAAGCCACAAAAACACAAACCUCCAAAGAUGCUCUAAUCAAACAACCUUUGAAAAAUUUUGGGAAAUACCAGUAUCGUGCAUGAGGAUUGUCUCCUAUGUUUCCCUACAGGAUUCUAUACUAGUUACUCGUUCAGAACUCAAGUACCCUCAUCAUAUGUCCAAUGCCUUUUCUGCCGAAUUUUGGUCUAUCAUCAAUAGGACACCGAUUAACUAGAAAAGAAAAUGGUUUAUUGCAGGAAAAUCACUAUAUUCUUCGGUUAUGUAAGCUUGAGUCCUUCGAGUUACUUAAUUAUUUCUUUAUGUGAUUAGGAUUAGUAGUAUUUCACUUUAAUUUGUCCUGUAAGAGUAAUGGAUUUGUCACGCUUAAUUUGUAUCAUUAUUUUAAUUAGUAAGAAUUUAGUGAUUAAUCCUCAUUCUUUACAUGCAUAUAUGCUUGUAGUUUGCUGUAUUUCAUAUCAGAUGGGGCCAUAACUAAUUAUGUGAUGACUUGAUCACUAGCUGUUACGAUUCAGUAGAUAAUAUGCCCUUUUGAAUAUUGAAGGAAAGGGGUUUUUGUUAAAGCCUAAGAGAACUGUUUGAUUUUCUGCAGCAAUACAAUACACCGGCCGGGUUAAAAAUAAUAAUAACAACACCACAGCAAAAUGAGAAUUAGUUGGCACUGCUUCAAUUCUUUCCCUAUGUCAUCCACAUGACUCCUUACGUACGUAGAAAAGCAGUGCCAUGUUUGGUCACGUUAGCUAGGAUUUGUUGUAAUAAAACCACUAUUUGUUAGGCCAACCUGACUCUUAAUUAUAACCAGCAGCUUUGGUAGAUGUUUUGAGAGCUGUAUCCUAGAGUUAGUAGCUUCAAGAUUUAUCCUCCGAUGUACAUCCCUCGUUAACUACUUGGUGUGAAUUACAAGAAAUACAUUCCACCGAAACUCUGACGCCUUGAGUGUAUUUUCCUUCUCAAAAAUCCUUUCUAUAUAGCCCCUGAAGCUAACGACGUACAGCGACGUCGUAGCUAAGAAGCUAGCUUGUUUCUUCAUGUUGAUAGGCCCUCCCUGCCAUCAACCUCAAGUAUUCGGGAUAGAAGAUUCGCCCAAAGAAGUAUGCUUGUUCAUAUUUAUAGCCCUUCUCUGCCAUCAAUCCAAGGGAUUCGAGAAAAUUGACUCAGCUCAUUUCUCACGCACAAACACACAUAACAGAGGGAUGGCGACAUGGUUUCAAGUCGUGGUGCUGAUUGCUUGUUUGCUUCCUUCACUGGUUGAAUGCCGCGUUCGUGAAUACAAAUUCAACGUGAGCAAUGCAUGAAUCACUUUUUUUAUCUCGUAUCAGAAAAAGUGAUACAUAAUUAUUCAAAAAUUAUUUUCUGUGCUUGCAUGGCAAAGUAUUCCAAUUGAGUUUCUUUUUUCGGGCAAAUGCCAUUGCUUAUUAUGCAAUGCCGCAAUAAAAAUUUAGAUAUCCUGCACUUGAUUUAACUUUUUGAUCAGAAAUUAGGAGAGAAAAUGAUAUGGUUGAAACUGAUGGCAAGGGAACCAGGUGGUGAUGGCGAACGCCACAAGACUAUGCUCAACUAAGCCCAUAGUGACAGUGAAUGGGCAGUUUCCGGGUCCGACGAUCUAUGCCAGGGAAGAUGACACCGUUCUCAUCAAGGUUGUCAACCACGUCAAAUACAACCUCUCCAUCCAUUGGUUAGGCCUAUGACCCCACCAUGUAUAUGAUGAUGCUUUCAUUCCAAUUCUCCGUUUCUUCUCUAAAAUGCCACUGAAUUUGGAAAUAAAGUCUAAAAUUCUCUCUGAUUUUCCACCAUUUUCACCCUCUUUUCAUUCAACAUACUCUUCAAUUUUUUUGAAAUCAUUCUUCAAUUGACUCAAUAAUUAACAUGCUCUAAUUGCCCCUGUUGCUAACCAGUCUGAACCACUAAUACCGUAGCACUUAUUUGAUGUGAUGCAUGUGAAAUAAAAAAAAAUAAUUAAAAAUACAUAUUUAUAAUGCAAGCAAAUAAAUUUGUGUCAAUAAUAAAAUUCUGUUAACUAAACACACCGUGUGUUUUGGACUUAUGCGCAGGCAUGGCGUCAGGCAGCUUCGAACGGGAUGGGCCGACGGUCCAGCAUACAUUACGCAAUGUCCAAUUCAGCCAGGGCAAACCUAUGUCUACAACUUCACAAUCACAGGCCAGAGAGGAACGCUUUGGUGGCAUGCUCAUAUCCUAUGGCUUAGGGCCACUCUCCACGGCGCACUUGUCAUCCUUCCAAAGCCCGGCGUACCAUACCCAUUUCCCAGCCCACACGAGGAAACAAUCGUCAUAUUAGGUCAUAUAAAAUGUUUUUCAAAAAAAAAAAAAAAAGAAGAGUUAUUGAUAGUAUUACCAUGCAUCCAUCAUCUUUUAAAAUUUCUAUGCUUUGACUUUGUAGGUGAGUGGUGGAAGUCAGAUGUUGAAUCGGUUAUCAAAGAAGCAUUGAAAUCGGGCUUGGCACCUAAUGUUUCCGAUGCUCACACGAUCAACGGCCAUCCAGGGUCCGUCCCGAAUUGCUUCUCUAAAGGUAGCCAUCGAAUUCCUAACAUGCAUGCAAUUUCAAUCUGUGCAAAUCCCCAGUUUGCGCCUAACAAUUGUGCAUGCUUUCAUGCGCCAUAAUUACUCUUUUUGGUGACACUACUAGUACUAGAUGACUAAAUCCAAUCCUAUAAUACGCUGAAGUCCAAUACAUGAUGUUCUUAAUUAAUUUCAUGUGAUCUUCAUGAACCUCUUUUUUUUUUCUUUUUUGGGGGUAAUAAUACCCAGGAAGGUUCAGAUUGCCGGUGGAUCCAGGCAAGAAAUACAUGCUGAGAAUCAUCAAUGCAGCGCUUAAUGACGAACUUUUCUUCAAGAUUGCUGGUCACAAUCUCACAAUAGUUGAGGUUGAUGCAGCAUAUGUGAAACCAUUCACAACCGACACUAUUCUAAUAGCACCAGGCCAGACCACCAACGCCAUUGUAUCCACCGAUCAGGAAAGUGGCAAGUACUUAAUGGCAGCUUCGCCAUUUAUGGACGCCCCUAUUGCAGUUGAUAACCUUACCGCCACUGCCACAUUACGUUAUUCCGGCACCGUUUCGAGUAUUGCCACCACCUUGACAAGUCUGCCGUCUAAAAAUGCCACCCCUGUGGCUACAAAAUUUAUGGACUCCCUCAGAAGCCUGAACUCGCAAGAAUACCCUGCCCAGGUUCCCUUGGAUAUUGAUCAUUCUCUUCUUUUCACGAUUAGCAUUGGAAUCAACCCUUGCGCUACUUGUGUCAAUGGUAGCCGACUCGCGGCUGAUAUCAAUAAUAUCAGCUUCGUCUUGCCCAAAAUCUCUCUCCUGAAUGCACAUUUCUUUAAUCUAAGCGGAGUAUUCACUGAUGAUUUUCCAGGGAACCCGUUAAUGCCGUAUAAUUAUACGGGCAAGCAGCCUACCAACCUGGGGACUAUGAAAGGAACUAGGCUAUAUAGACUUGCCUACAAUUCCACUGUACAGUUAGUAUUGCAAGAUACUGGGAUGAUUAGCCCUGAAAGCCAUCCAUUUCAUCUGCAUGGUUUCAACUUUUUUGUGGUCGGAAGUGGUAUAGGCAAUUUCAACCCCAACAAGGAUCCGCCUAAUUUCAAUCUUGUUGACCCUGUUGAAAGAAAUACGGUCGGAGUGCCUACUGGUGGCUGGGUUGCCAUCAGAUUCCGAGCUGAUAAUCCGGGUAAUUUCUUGCUAUCAAAAUUUUAAUUUUUUCUUUUUUUUUUUUUGCACAAGUAGUAGAUGUUAUAUUACAUUUAUUACUCGCGAUUAAUGUUAUGAUGCGGAAAUAACGCAUUAGCUUGAGCGAGACAAGACUCGAUAAACCCAAAUUUUGUCGAAUGAUUAGUUGUUCACCUAAUAAUGGACUAAUGCUGCCGGAAAAAGCUAGCAGACAAUUGGUGGAACUUACGUAAUUAAAUGAACUUUGACUCAACAGCUGUUUGCAAGUAAACAAACAUCCUGUUAAAGUUGUGAACUUUGUUCUCCAAUAAAUCCAUAAACACUUCACUAUAGUAUCUGAUCUCUAAUGAAGUUCUUUAACUGAUAAGUGCCAGUGUUAUUAGAUGAUUUUCUGUAACAUCUUCAUGUUCUUGUUGUAGGGGUGUGGUUCUUGCACUGUCACUUGGAAGUUCACACCACAUGGGGACUUAAGAUGGCAUUUGUGGUGGACAAUGGGAGAGAUCCAGAUGAAUCCCUUCUACCACCACCGACAGAUUUACCCAAAUGUUGAGAACUUUCGGAUACUCCAUGUACAUUAUAUAACUUCAAAAAUCAGACAACGGAAGGCUGGACACUCAACAUAUAACAGGGCAGUUCACCCGGUAGAUUUCGUUUUAUAGCUUUCGGCUUGUUGCCAUGAACAAUCAUACAAAGAUAAGGAAAUUACCGUGAUAAACUUUUAUGUUCUGGAAAAGGAUAAAGAAUUAAGAGGGAAUGAAUAGCUGAAGCAACUGUCCCUAAGAUCCUGGGUAGUGUUGGAUUGGAUGAUAAGGUGGGAGAGAUUGUAAGUAAAAAUUCCUAAAUUCAAGAGUUUUCGCUUACAAAAAAAAAAAAUUAAUCGUAAUUGAAGAUUACUGUCCCUAGGAUCUGAUUUGUUUGGUUUCAAUUCCUGGUGCCAAAUGCAAUUGUAAUUUAAAUUGUGAUGUAUCCUUUUGCUACACGUAGUGUCUGAUUCGUCAAGGUGAAGCUUCGGUCCAAACGAAGUUUAUCAUACCAUUCCUUUAUGACGCAGUUGAACCUGGAGUAGAAAUUUGCAGAUAUGGAGAAUUACACUGUCAGUUCCUAAUCCUCCAUCGAAUUUCACCGUGGUCCACUUAUUUUUUCACUUUUCAAGCCAAUUUGCAACAAGUAAACAAUAAGGGGUUUACGUGAAAAUGUGAGACUUUUUGCAAGUAAAAUGCCCCUGAUCUGAUCUCUUUCUUCUACUUUCUGUGCGAGCUUCCUUGAUCUUAAAACAGAAGAAAAUUUGUGGAUACAAGCGUCACGUGACUAAAAAAACUCAAGAUAGCUUAGUGGAUUCAAUCCUCUUUGGUUGGAGUAGAUGGGCAAUUAAACAAAAUGGUUGUCGAUGCAGGAGAAAAAUGGAUCGAAAAUACAACAAAAGCCUAUGCAUUAAUAUUGGAGAGUACAUAUUUCUUCGUGAUUUGUUUGCAAGUAGCAGCAAAGAUAUAAUUUGUAAAAAAUUAGCUUUUCCUCGAGUAAACAGUACUAUUAGAAGGAGGUCCCAUAGGAUAUGUAAAACUUUUUCGUUCUUUUCUUAUUCAACUCUCGUUCAUUUGAUCCGACAAAUGAGAGUUCGAGGGAAUUGGUCGAGGUGCCUUGAGAAAGGUAAUUGAAAUACUGAUCAUCAUAAUGGAGAACUAUUCAGUGAGCAGAUGCCGAAAUCAUAGCUGUUUCAAGCAACGUUUGAACUAAGGGAAAAAAUAUAUAUAUAUAUAUAUAUGAGUGGAAGAUGAAAGGUACCAUUGGCCAACUACAUAAACCCUAAGUCGGAAAAACAGCAACCCAAGUCAUAGAUGAUAGAACCCAAUUCUCCACAAGCCCUUCUUCCUCAAGCUUUGGACUAGUAAUUGUUAACUUUGGCAAGAAUAAUUAUACGAAAUCACAGCUCAUCUUGCUUGCCAGAAAAACUAGAAAUACAGCUCAUAUAUCAAUAAUAAUGCAUGAACUCGAUCGUUCUACUGGUAUUGUUAGGUCAAUCAUUAUUAAUAUAUGGUAGUGCCUAAGUGGCAUAUAUAUAAGUCUAUAAUGCACGUAAAUGUUAGAAGAAUUAAAACUCUGUUUGCUCUUGUAAAAUGAUAAUGUUUAGAAAAUAAAAUGUUUUGGAUAUAAUACUCGGUUGAUUUUUCUCCCAUGGUGGGCGGAAAUAGUACAACAAUGUAUGUAUAUAUGCUAAGCGAUCCCUUAGUCAACUGGUUUCUGUAAAUUACAAGGUACCAUAUAAAAAAUAGAGCUACUCUGUAGAGUGUCAUUUUCGCCCGCAAAUCUGACUAAAACGACAUUGUAGCCAAGAUCCUUUAAAAGUUCAAUCUAACGUAACGCACCAAGUUAAACUACUAGAAUUGAACUAGUAGAAGAAGAAGAUCCACACCCGCACACACGCACAGAGAAAGAGAUGGCACCAUCAUCAUCAUCAUCAUGGCUUCGGCUUCGAGUGUUGGUGCUGGUGGCUUGUUUACUUCCGUCAUUCAUCCAAUGCAAGAUCCGCAUUUACAAGUUCAAUGUAAGUCAUCCAAAUUCUUCUAACUCAGUACAGAAUUGCAAUCCUUGCCCAGAAAUAGAAUGUUGCAUGGAACAUGCAUGAUGCUCUAGCUCCACAUAUCAUCAUCAGGCUCCUAUGUUUAAUUAGAUUCAUCUUAUGAUUUACAUGCAUUUUGUUUUCCAACUCGGGCUUCUAAUUAUACUUUCUUACCCUGAUUCAAAAUGCAUUAUGAGUUCCAUAUAGGCAUCAAUUUGCAUUAAUUAGCUUGCACUAAUGACAAUGCUGGCAGUCCACAGAGGCCAGAAUCAAGGCUGGGCUAACAAAUUGGAUUGUUUAGUACGUAGUAAUUCUCCAAUGCUAUCGCCACUUAGCUUUAAACUGGCAAGUAGUAGUUUGGAAAAUGGAAGAAUCAAAUUAAAUAAGAGAUUAAAAUGCUACGAUAAGGUGUGGUCAGGUGAUGGCGACGAACACUACAAGACUAUGCUCAACUAAGCCUGCAGUUACAGUUAACGGGCUUUUCCCGGGUCCAACAAUCUUUGCCAAUGAAGACGACGACCUACUCGUCAAGGUUGUCAACCAGGUCCAGUACAAUUUGACCAUCCACUGGUUAGUCUGAAACUGUACAAUUUGACAAUCCAUCCUUCUUCUUUUUUUUUUUCUAACUUUUUGCCUAAUUUUUAUUCUGCUGUUCACAAAGAACAGCGAAAUGGAUUUUAUCUACACAAAAAAAAAAAAUUUUGUUUGGAUAGUUGAUGGUGUGCAUUUUUUAUUUCACUUGUGGGCAGGCACGGAAUAAAGCAACUUCGCAGCGGAUGGGCGGACGGGCCGGCAUUCAUAACCCAAUGUCCAAUUCAACCAGGGCAAACUUACGUGUACAACUUCACAAUCACAGACCAGAGAGGAACGCUUUGGUGGCACGCUCAUAUUGGCUGGCUCCGGGCCACCGUCCACGGAGCACUUGUUAUCCUGCCUAAACUUGGCCUGCCCUACCCCUUUCCCCCCCCGGAUAGCGAAGUGGUCAUCAUUUUAGGUCGUACUAAUAUUUAUGCGAAAAUCGCCUUCUUUUAAGCAUUUCUAGUGUACUUUCGAAGCAUUAUUUAUGUCGCUGCUUAGGUCCUCUUCUUAACUGAUUUUGAUUGUAUAAAAAUUAUUUUCAGAAAAUCAGAAUUUUAAAAAAAAAAAUACUAAACUAGAAGCUUCUGAUUUUCAAUUUUUUUUUAUUACGCUAAAAAAAAUCCAAAAUUAGGAUAUGAAAAGCUAUUGAAAACAGAAGGAGGAAGAUUUAGCUGAGAACAAGAACUUAAUGGAUUAUUUAUUUUAUAUGGUUGCUGCAAUUGUGUUUUAUGUGAAAGCUCUGGUUUAAUCAAAUUUCCUCGUUCAAUUCAUAGCUGAAUGGUGGAAGUCAGAUAUCGAGACGCUGAUCAAUAGCGCAAUGAAAGAAGGCCUUCCAUUUCAGGUUUCUGAUGCAUACACAAUCAAUGGCCAAUCAAGGCCUAUCUCAAAUUGCUCUUCAGAAGGUACAAAGCAAAUUUGUUCUGCUACUGUCUCUUCUAUUACCUUGCAAUGAGCUUGAUUGAAUGUUCAGGAUUUGAUCGCCAUGUAUUUUCGCUUCUAAAAAAUUGGACAGGGGGAUUUAGUUUUCCGGUGGAACCAGGCAAGAAAUAUAUGCUGAGGAUCAUCAAUGCUGCACUUAAUGAAGAGCUCUUCUUCAAGAUUGCCGGCCACAGUCUCACGGUUGUUGAGGUUGAUGCAACCUAUGUGAAACCAUUCAAAACAGGCACCAUUUUCAUAACGCCAGGGCAGACCACAAAUGCCAUUUUAGAGGCUGAUCUUGGUACGGGCAACUACUUGAUGGCAGCCUCACCAUUCAUGGCGGAGCCCGUUCCUAUCGACUACACGGCUGCCACUGCCACUGUGCAUUAUUCCGGCACCCAAUCAUCUGCAGCCACCACAUUUACAGACCUUCCACCUAGAAAUGCAACUCCUCUGGCUACAGCAUUCGUCGACUCUCUGAAAAGCCUCAACUCACAAAGAUACCCUGCCAGAGUCCCCUUGACCGUUGAUCAUUCUCUCCUUUUCACAAUGGGCCUAGGCUUCAACCCCUGUGCUACUUGCAUCCGUGGAUCGCGAAUAGCUGCGUACUUCAACAACAUCUCAUUCAUCAGGCCAGAGAUCUCGCUCCUUAAUGCACAUUUCUUUAAUAUCAGCGGUGUCUUCGCUGAUGAUUUUCCGGGGAAUCCGCCAAUCCGGUAUAACUACACCGGCGAACAGCCUAAGAACCUUAGGACAAUGGAAGGUACGAGGCUUUACAGACUCGCCUUUAACUCGACAGUUCAACUGGUCUUGCAAGACACCGCAAUGAUCACCCCGGAAAACCAUCCGAUUCAUUUGCACGGAAUGAACUUCUUCGUCGUGGGAAGAGGUUUGGGGAAUUUCGAUCCAGAAAAGGAUCCCAGCAACUUUAAUCUUGUAGACCCUGUGGAAAGAAACACCGUUGGAGUCCCUUCUGGUGGAUGGGUAGCUGUCAGAUUCAGGGCUGAUAAUCCAGGUAACGUGUUAUUACCAAAUGCAGGACAGCACCCUUGCGGCAAAUUUUUUACUAAUCGCAUUAAUUUGGUACAUUCUUUUUUUUUUUUUUUUGGCUGCUGCAAAUCAGCAUUACUGAGAUAAAUUUAACUAUUAACCGAUUUGAUCCUCAAAAAAUAAUUUUUUGUUUAAAUCAAGAUUCUGAUUGUUCUUUUGCAGGAGUUUGGUUCAUGCAUUGCCAUCUAGAAUCACACACACUUGUGGGACUUGAGAUGGCAUUUGUGGUGGACAAUGGGCAAGGACCAAAUCAAUCUGUUCGUCCACCUCCUAGAGAUCUUCCCAGCUGCUGAGAAUUUCCCAAGGCCGAAAAUGCUGUCGCUUGCGCGUUACUUUCUUUUUGGGUUUCCUCCGUUGUAAAGUCAAAGAUGGAGAAGAGAUGGCAGACUAGGCAUGAAAAUAAGGACAUCACACACACCACUUGAUCAAUUCCCGCUGCCAAAUGUGACGGUUCCAUCCAAUGUUUGUGGAAUACGUACAAUAAUGUAUACUACUGAUUGUAAAUUUUUUUUUUUUUUUUUUUUUUUACUCCCCACCUCCUGGAACAAAGAUUAGGCAUAUCAUAAGAUGAACCAUUUUCUGUCUAACUCUGCCGGGCAAUCAUAAGCUGAUAUCCUUCAUACGAACAAGCAUUGCAUAUUUGCAUCCACACACAACGUUGAUAAAUAGUAGUAAACAAAAUCAUCUUUACACCUUAUGCUCCUCAAAGAAAAUAGGUACUCUAGAAAAUAGAUAACAAAACAAUUCAUUUUUCUUUUUGUUCAAGCCUCUUUCACUCCCAGAAUGGUAGAGCCAUCUAACCAACACUCCAGCUCCUUGGUUGUCUUAUCAUCAAGGAAACUAUGGGUACUACCACUUUCUAUAAGUAUACUCAUAGGUCUCCUCCUAAUGUACCUAGGCCUGUCAAUGGGUCGGGUCUAGAUCCGGAUCCGGACCGGAUCCGUGAAAUUAUUGUGGGUAUGGGUAGGGAUUUAAUUCCGUUUUCCGGAUCCGGAUCCGGAUCCGUUUUGUCAAACAAAAAAACAGGUCGGAUACGGAAUAUAGUAUUCCGACCCGUAUUAGACCCGGAUCCGGAUAUAAAUGAAUUAAUAAUUUAAAAAGUAUAUAUUUAUCAAUAUAAUUUGAUUAGGGUGAUGUAUUUUAAUAAAGUUAAUUUGAUUUCUUUUCUUAUUUGGUUUUUUCUUUGCAUUAGUUAGAAAUUAGUUUACAAAUAUUUUUUUUUCUCAUUUUUAUUAGAAAUUAUAAAUUUUGGUAAAUUUGUUCGAGUAGAUCCGGAUCCGGAUCCGGAUCCGGGACCCGCCGGAUCCAGAUCCGGAACAUAGAAUAAAAGACCCGUCGGAUAAACGGGUCGGAUCCGGAUCCGGCAUAGUAAUUCGGGUCCGGGUCCGGGUCCGAAAUAAUGAAUUCCGGCCCGUUGACAGCCCUAAAUGUACCCUAUAAUUCUCAUAGCUUGUGUUGUGCCGUCCUAGUCAAUGCAUGAAUGGAGAUUUCUACAUUACCAUCACCUACUUCCUCCUCAUCCAGCCAGCCACAAAAUAGUUCAGAGUUUUCACCUUCCUCUCCAUGAAUACCUCUAGGGCCUUCUCUCUCAUCCACCAAUAGGAAAUUAAUGUGGGCUUGCUUACAAACAUGUCCAACAAUGUAUGGCCCCUCACAUCUAUAGCAUAACCCCUUAUCCCUUCUGGGUUGGGAUUCAACAGGAAUGAUCCUUUUGAAUUGGCUCAGGUUCUUAUUUGUAGGUUUGGAGGUUUUGGGUUCUGAUUUUUUUAAGCUUGUGUUGGACCAUUUUUGGUUAUGGAAAGGCUUAUUAAAGGUCCUGGCAUUAGAGGAUGAAUAGCAUCUCUAGGGAAUGGGUUUUUGGCUUUUGUUUAUGGCUAAUAAGGUUUUUUCCUGCAAUUUUACAACCUUCAUAACCUGUGUCAAAUUCUGUUGCUCCACCAUGCUCUUAAUUUCUUCUUUCGAUCCUCUCAUAAACAUUGACAUAUAAUAGGAUUUGGACAUAGGAGGUAAAGAAGGCAUUACCAAUGCUUUCAAUAGUUCAAAUCUCUCUUGAUAUUCAGGGAUUGAACCUGUCUGUGUGAUCUUAGAGAAUUCUUCAAUAGCCUUUUCUAGAGAUCCAUCACCAAAAAGUUUACAAACCUCCAAAGGGAACUCAUUCCAAGGUAUGUAAUCUCUCCCCAUAAAAUUGCCCUGGAACCAAAUAUCUGCUCUUCCUUUUGAGUACAACUCUGCCAUGCCUGUUUUUAGCCCUUCUUCAAUGCCAUGCAUAAGAAAAUAUGCCCCUACCUUUCUCACCGCACUCUCUAGGAUUAUCCCCAUCAAAGGUAGGGAAAUCAAUUUUGGUAAUUUCGAACUAAUCUUCCCCUCAUUCCUCACUUGAUUACUCCUACGUGUUUCUUCUCUUUUCCCUUCUAUGGCCACCAGAUACUCUUCUCCAGUAGUACUACUACUGUCGAUCCCCUUCCUUUUGCUUAGUUGGAUUAAAGUUGUACUCAUUUUAGCUACCAUGUUCAUUAGAUAAUCAUAUUUUGCAUCUAAACUUUUCAAGGUUUUCUUAGUACUCUCCAGCUUACUCUCAAUUCCCUUUAUAGCCUAAUCCAACCCAUCACUCCUAUGGGCAACCCUCAUUACUGCACUUCCCAAAUCUAGAGUAUGCCUUUUUGAUGAUUCUUUAGCAGCCUUAGACAUUCCUCUCUUUGCUCGCAGCUAGCUCUACUGUAAUGGUACAUACUAAAGCAAUGGUAAUUUUAGAAACAAUUUUCCAAAUAAAUUAGUGUAGCAGUCAAAUGGGUAAAUUGGAAGCUCAAAUUCUCAUUAAUUAACUCAAAUAUUAUGGAGAAACAGAUAUUUGUGUGAGAUCAGAGGGUGAAGAAUGUUGUGAAGGAAACUUGGGGGAAAAGGAAGAAGGAAUUCACUAAACUAAAAGCAAAUUCAAUCUUGACAAAAGAAGCAAACUUGUAUUUGAAUGAAAUCGUGAGUUCGCAGGCUCUAUUUAAUCCUAAGGCUUUCAAUAGAAACAAAAUACUACUCCGAAUGGCUUGGUCCGAUUGGACAGGAAAUGAGGAGAAUGGAACUUGGAGAUCCAUUACAAGCUGCUUGAGGAAUUGGGCCAAGAUGGUCCACUGAAGCGUUGCUAGCUAGAGCGACCCAUUUCUAAAUGUUCUGUGUUCCAUGCAAUCUACAGAUCAUGGGCCUGCAUUGCAGACCGACCCAUGUCUAAUCUUUCUACUAUUUUUAACUGGACAUGUCUUUGACCAGGCUUGGUUGACAAAUAAGCAGGCUCGAGUCGAAUGGUCUCAAAAAAUAAUGAUGAGACUCUUGAUUGUGAUACAAUGAAAAGUGAGCGCAGCACACUUUUAACAACAAAUUAGCUAUUAACAAAUUCAAUUAAGACUAAAUUUUUUUUUUAAUAAAUAAAAAAGAACAAGCCAGGACCACCCCCCCCCCAGAUAUAAGAUAUAAUAAGAGUGAUAGAAACUAGUCCCACAUUGGCUCACCAAAUCAAGCUUUCUUUCAGAGUCCAAGGAAUUGGACGGCUGCCAUCUGUUGAGUUUGCAUAAGCCCAAAUGUCCAAUCGAAAACGAUAAUGAUGGCAGCAUUUCUUUAAUCUGCACUUUACGCGGAUUAAUCAAACCCCGAAGCGAAGUAAUCCAUAAUUCAUACUGUACUAAUUUUUAGAUUAGUCAAGACGAUGAAUUAGACAGGGUCCUUGAUGGGAAGGAAGCUAAUAAUAAAUACAUGGUGGGUGAACAAAAGGAUCGGUCUUUUGAUUGGAAUGGAAGGGGAAAAGCGAGCGGAACAGUAAAAAUUGAUUAACUAAAGUCGCAGAGGGAGGAAUUUAGGAGUUGGGAAAGACCUCGUGACUGCAAGUGAUUGAAGGCUGCACGCUUGCGCACAUGACACGAAUGAGAGAUGCACACGCUUUCCGAGUAGUGCUGCUGCUACCUUCGAGUCCUUCUGUCACAUGGCCGGACUAUUUUGACUUUUGGGAUUGGGAGAACAGAGAAAAAGAAUCUUUCCUUUAAUGGAAACAAAUUAGUUGCGGUGGCGUUGCCAACCCACUUUCUACUAUUUAUUGGGACAGUAGUAUUCUACUCGACUCUACUCUAAGAGUACUAUCCCCUCUCUUUCUUCAUUUAUUAUUAUUUUUUUUAUUUUUUUUUACCGAGUCUGCAGUCACCAUCAGCUCCAACAAACAAGACAGAUGGCAAUCAUCUUAGGUUUAUAUUUUUCCUUGUAAGUUGCAAUCAUCUUAUAGUUUUUUUUUGUAAAAUCUUUGUCCUUUUUUGUUGGAGAGUUGUAUAAUGAUUUUAAGAAACGAGACAGAUAGCAACAUUUGAAUCCGUGGUCUCUAAUUUCAAAAUGUUUUUAGAUAGUAGAUUAUUUAGGAUAAUUUUUUUUUUAUAAAAAAAAUAAUAUAACAGUUUUUUUAUAUGAUGUAUGUGAGAUAAAAAUGUGGUUAGAAAAUAUGUUAAUAAUGCAAACAAAUAAAAUUUUCUAAAUAAACUACAAUACAAACAAUGAGCCGGUAAAUCAUUUUAUAGUUAUUUAGACAAAUAUUUAAACUCGAUUCUCAUAUGCACUUUGAUAUUUCUAUAGAUAAUUAAAUUGGGGAAAGCUUUUUCCAAAGUUUAAAUUUUUUUUUUUUUUGGAAAACAAAAUAUUAUUGCGAUGCCGGCUAAUAGGCUAACACUUCUAAAGCUUGUUUUUUGAAGGAUAAAAGUAAUUUUAAUGUACUUUGUAAGCACCCGUCCUUGAAUUUAGGGGUAGAGCUUUUGACAUAAGUUCAAAAUGAGUGCUUUCAAAACAACUUUCUCGUUUCAAAAAAUAAAAAUUAAUUAUGAAACUUGAACUAAAUGGAGAAAUAAAUAUAUUUUAGAAAUUAAAUUCAAAAAUACACAUUAUUAAAUAGGAAAAUUACUUAUACAAGUAUGCAUAAUUAAACAAUUAAUAAGUACUUUGACCAUAAGUUUUAGUAAUUGAAAUACUUUUUAAUAAGCCAUGACCAACCCCCCAGUAUACUCGAAAUAUUUACGUAUCCAGGUUAUAACAUUUGGUUGCAUCACUCGUAGCACUUGCAGCAUUCAACCCUUUUUUUUUUUUAUUUUUUACAAGCGGCCAACCAGUCAGUGCAUUGCAUCUGGCUAGUAGAACCAGCUUGCUUUGUCGGCUUACGAAUUGAAAAUACGGGGCACUUGUUUUGAUUGUUCCAUUGUCUCCCGUGCCUUGUAUAAGGACAACAACAACCGAUAAGUAAUAAACGAGAUAGUUUUAUACCGGUAAAAGAGCAAAGAGAAUAUUUUGUUUACAUCUUCUUCAGUUUUUUCCUCAACAGUAGGUCCUGAGACGCAUGGCCUUGCGUUCAUUCGGCUGCUGGUGUACGCAAAAUUUUCUAAAUUCUAAGCUUAUAAUAGUAAUAUCUUACUCCAUUAGAUUAUAUAGAUAGAUAGUCAUAUACUAAUAGUAUUUUUUUUUUCAUUCAUCACUUAUCUACUUUAAUCCUACUCCAGUCUAAUUUAAUUGAGAUCCAACUACGUCUACAGAAAAAUCGAUAAGAACUGAAUCAUUAUCGGACCAGACAAGUGCAAUACUCACUUGUAUGAAUUUAAGAAAACUGCAUAUUGUGACGAACGACGGGAGUCAGAGUUUUAACCUUCGAUCUCCCACCCUACCAAGAUUUAAAAUUCUUUGACAACCCACAUACACUAAUGUAAUGGCUCCACUAAAUUGGCAACUCUCUCUCUCUCUCUCUCUUUCUUUUUGGUAUCAUCUUCUUGGCUUGGGGUUUCAGUUUUGCUUUUAGCACCCGUACU
rnacentral:lncRNA from 1 species